rnacentral:rRNA from 1 species
GACGAACGCUGGCGGCGUGCCUAAUACAUGCAAGUAGAACGCUGAAGGAGGAGCUUGCUUCUCUGGAUGAGUUGCGAACGGGUGAGUAACGCGUAGGUAACCUGCCUGGUAGCGGGGGAUAACUAUUGGAAACGAUAGCUAAUACCGCAUAAGAGUAGAUGUUGCAUGACAUUUGCUUAAAAGGUGCAAUUGCAUCACUACCAGAUGGACCUGCGUUGUAUUAGCUAGUUGGUGGGGUAACGGCUUACCAAGGCGACGAUACAUAGCCGACCUGAGAGGGGGAUCGGCCACACUGGGACUGAGACACGGCCCAGACUCCUACGGGAGGCAGCAGGAGGGAAUCUUCGGCAAUGGACGGAAGUCUGACCGAGCAACGCCGCGGGAGUGAAGAAGGUUUUCGGAUCGUAAAGCUCUGUUGUAAGAGAAGAACGAGUGUGAGAGUGGAAAGUGCACACUGUGACGGUAUCUUACCAGAAAGGGACGGCUAACUACGUG